AACGAACGCUGGCGGCAUGCCUAACACAUGCCAGUCGAACGAGACCUUCGGGUCUAGUGGCGCACGGGUGCGUAACGCGUGGGAAUCUGCCCUUGGGUUCGGAAUAACAGUGGGAAACGACUGCUAAUACCGGAUGAUGACGUAAAUCCAAAGAUUGAUCGCCCAAGGAUGAGCCCGGGUAGGAUUAGCAUGUGGGUGAGGUAAAUGCGCACCAAGGCUACGAUCCUUAACUGGUUUGAGAGGAGGAUCAGCCACACUGGGACUGAGGAACGGCCCAGACUCCUACGGGAGGGAGCAGUGGGGGAUAUUGGCAAAUGGGCGAAAGGAUGAUGCAGCAAUGAUGCGUGAGUGAUGAAGGCCUUAGGGUUGUAAAGCUAUUUUACCCGGGAUGAUAAUGACAGUACCGGGAGAAUAAGCACCGGCUAACUCCGUG
rnacentral:rRNA from 1 species